CCUACGGGAGGCAGCAGUGGGGAAUAUUGCGCAAUGGGCGAAAGCCUGACGCAGCGACGCCGCGUGAGGGAUGAAGGUCUUCGGAUCGUAAACCUCUGUCAGCAGGGAAGAACGGUCACUGUGCUAAUCAGCAGUGAAUUGACGGUACCUGCAAAGGAAGCACCGGCUAACUCCGUGCCAGCAGCCGCGGUAAUACGGAGGGUGCGAGCGUUAAUCGGAAUUACUGGGCGUAAAGCGCACGUAGGCGGUAUGGCAAGUCAAGGGGGAAAUCCCCGCGGUCAACGUGGGAACUGCCUUUGAAACUGGCAAACUGGAGUGUGUGAGAGGAUAGUGGAAUUCCAGGUGUAGGAGUGAAAUCCGUAGAUAUCUGGAGGAACAUCAGUGGCGAAGGCGACUAUCUGGCACAUAACUGACGCUGAGGAGCGAAAGCGUGGGUAGCAAACAGGAUUAGAUACCCGGGUAGUC
rnacentral:rRNA from 1 species